rnacentral:rRNA from 1 species
GGCCUGAGAGGGCGACCGGCCACACUGGGACUGAGACACGGCCCAGACUCCUACGGGAGGCAGCAGUGGGGAAUAUUGCACAAUGGGCGAAAGCCUGAUGCAGCGACGCCGCGUGAGGGAUGACGGCCUUCGGGUUGUAAACCUCUUUCAGCAGGGAAGAAGCGAAAGUGACGGUACCUGCAGAAGAAGCGCCGGCUAACUACGUGCCAGCAGCCGCGGUAAUACGUAGGGCGCGAGCGUUGUCCGGAAUUAUUGGGCGUAAAGAGCUCGUAGGCGGUCUGUCGCGUCGGAUGUGAAAGCCCGGGGCUUAACCCCGGGUCUGCAUUCGAUACGGGCAGGCUAGAGUGUGGUAGGGGAGAUCGGAAUUCCUGGUGUAGCGGUGAAAUGCGCAGAUAUCAGGAGGAACACCGGUGGCGAAGGCGGAUCUCUGGGCCAUUACUGACGCUGAGGAGCGAAAGCGUGGGGAGCGAACAGGAUUAGAUACCCUGGUAGUCCACGCCGUAAACGGUGGGAACUAGGUGUUGGCGACAUUCCACGUCGUCGGUGCCGCAGCUAACGCAUUAAGUUCCCCGCCUGGGGAGUACGGCCGCAAGGCUAAAACUCAAAGGAAUGACGG